rnacentral:rRNA from 1 species
CAGCAGCCACGGGAAUACGUAGGGUGCGAGCGUUAAUCGGAAUUACUGGGCGUAAAGCGUGCGCAGGCGGUUCGUUAAGACAGAUGUGAAAUCCCCGGGCUUAACCUGGGAACUACAUUUGUGACUGGCGAGCUAGAGUAUGGCAGAGGGGGGUAGAAUUCCACGUGUAGCAGUGAAAUGCGUAGAGAUGUGGAGGAAUACCGAUGGCGAAGGCAGCCCCCUGGGCCAAUACUGACGCUCAUGCACGAAAGCGUGGGGAGCAAACAGGAUUAGAUACCCGUGUAGUCCCUGUCUCUUAUAC